rnacentral:rRNA from 1 species
AACACGUAUCCAACCUGCCGAUGACUCGGGGAUAGCCUUUCGAAGAAAGAUUAAUACCCGAUGGCAUAGUUCUUCCGCAUGGUAGAACUAUUAAAGGAUUUCGGUCAUCGAUGGGGAUGCGUUCCAUUAGGUUGUUGGCGGGGUAACGGCCCACCAAGCCUUCGAUGGAUAGGGGUUCUGAGAGGAAGGUCCCCCACAUUGGAACUGAGACACGGUCCAAACUCCUACGGGAGGCAGCAUG